rnacentral:rRNA from 1 species
CGGGACGGGUGAGUAACACGUGGAUAACCUGCCUCACACUGGGGGAUAACAGUUAGAAAUGACUGCUAAUACCGCAUAAGCGCACAGUACCGCAUGGUACAGUGUGAAAAACUCCGGUGGUACAAGAUGGACCCGCGUCUGAUUAGCUGGUUGGUGAGGUAACGGCCCACCAAGGCGACGAUCAGUAGCCGGCCUGAGAGGGUGAACGGCCACAUUGGGACUGAGACACGGCCCAA